UAUUUGAAAUUUGACCUGCCCAAUGAUUAUUUUAAUGGCCGCGGUAUAUUGACCGUGCAAAGGUAGCAUAAUCAUUAGUCUAUUAAUUGUGGACUUGUAUGAAUGGUUGGACGAAAUAUUUACUGUCUCAUAUUAAUUUAUUUUGAAUUUAAUUUUUUAGUUAGAAAGCUUAAAUUUUUUUGUAGGACGAGAAGACCCUAUAGAUCUUUAUUAUUUUUAUUUUUAAUUAAUUUAGUUUAUUUUUUGUUGAUUUUAUUGGAUUUUUUGGUUGGGGUGACAGGGAGAUAUUUUAACUCUUUUAUAGUAUUUACAAUGAUUUUUGAAUAAUUUGAUCUUAUAUUAAUGUUUAUUAGAUUAGAUACCUUAGGGAUAACAGCGUAAUUCUUUUUGAGAGUUCAUAUCGACAAGAGAGAUUGCGACCUCGAUGUUGGAUUAAGAAUAGUUUUAGGUGUAGGUGCUUAAUAAUUAGGUCUGUUCGACCUUUAAAUUCUUACGUGAUCUGA
rnacentral:rRNA from 1 species